rnacentral:rRNA from 1 species
CAGCAGCCGCGGUAAUACGAAGGGGGCUAGCGUUGCUCGGAAUUACUGGGCGUAAAGGGAGCGUAGGCGGGUCGUUUAGUCAGAGGUGAAAUCCCGGGGCUCAACCUCGGAACUGCCUUUGAUACUGGCGACCUUGAGUAUGGGAGAGGUAAGUGGAACUCCGAGUGUAGAGGUGAAAUUCGUAGAUAUUCGGAAGAACACCAGUGGCGAAGGCGACUUACUGGCCCAUUACUGACGCUGAGGCUCGAAAGCGUGGGGAGCAAACAGGAUUAGAUACCCGAGUAGUCCCUGUCUCUUAUAC